rnacentral:rRNA from 1 species
CCCUUAGAUGUUCGGAGCUGCACGCGCGCUACACUGAAGGAAGCAGCGUGUUAGAGCACCUGGCUUGAAAGAGCUGGGUAAUCCGGUGAAUGUCCUUCGUGAUUGGGAUAGGGACUUGUAAUUAUUUCCCUUGAACGAGGAAUACCUAGUAAGUGCAAGUCAUCAGCUUGCGCUGAUUACGUCCCUGCCCUUUGUACACACCGCCCGUCGCUACUACCGAUUGAAUGGUUUAGUGAGAUCUCUGGAUUGACGCUGGCUAGGGGGCGACCCUUGGCCAGACUGUUGAGAAACUGCUCAAACUUGAUCAUUUAGAGGAAGUAAAAGUCGUAACA